UUCGCCCUUAGAGUUUGAUCCUGGCUCAGGACGAACGCUGGCGGCGUGCUUAACACAUGCAAGUCGAACGGGGUGCCUAUGAAAGAGAUUUCGGUCAAUGGAUUAGGUUACUUAGUGGCGGACGGGUGAGUAACGCGUGAGGAACCUGCCUUUCAGAGGGGGACAACAGCUGGAAACGGCUGCUAAUACCGCAUGACACAUAUUUAUCGCAUGGUAGAUAUGUCAAAGAUUUAUCGCUGAGAGAUGGCCUCGCGUCUGAUUAGCUAGUUGGUAGGGUAAUGGCCUACCAAGGCGACGAUCAGUAGCCGGACUGAGAGGUUGGCCGGCCACAUUGGGACUGAGAUACGGCCCAGACUCCUACGGGAGGCAGCAGUGGGGAAUAUUGGGCAAUGGGCGCAAGCCUGACCCAGCAACGCCGCGUGAAGGAAGAAGGCUUUCGGGUUGUAAACUUCUUUUAAGAGGGAAGAGCAGAAGACGGUACCUCUUGAAUAAGCCACGGCUAACUACGUGCCAGCAGCCGCGGUAAUACGUAGGUGGCAAGCGUUGUCCGGAUUUACUGGGUGUAAAGGGCGUGUAGCCGGGCUGACAAGUCAGAUGUGAAAUCCCGUGGCUCAACCACGGAACUGCAUUUGAAACUGUCGGUCUUGAGUAUCGGAGAGGCAGGCGGAAUUCCUAGUGUAGCGGUGAAAUGCGUAGAUAUUAGGAGGAACACCAGUGGCGAAGGCGGCCUGCUGGACGACAACUGACGGUGAGGCGCGAAAGCGUGGGGAGCAAACAGGAUUAGAUACCCUGGUAGUCCACGCUGUAAACGAUGGAUACUAGGUGUGCGGGGACUGACCCCCUGCGUGCCGCAGCUAACGCAAUAAGUAUCCCACCUGGGGAGUACGAUCGCAAGGUUGAAACUCAAAGGAAUUGACGGGGGCCCGCACAAGCGGUGGAUUAUGUGGUUUAAUUCGAAGCAACGCGAAGAACCUUACCAGGGUUUGACAUCCUGCUAACGAAGUAGAGAUACAUUAGGUGCCCUUCGGGGAAAGCAGAGACAGGUGGUGCAUGGUUGUCGUCAGCUCGUGUCGUGAGAUGUUGGGUUAAGUCCCGCAACGAGCGCAACCCUUACCUUCAGUAGCCAGCGAGCAAAGUCGGGCACUCUGGAGGGACUGCCAGGGACAACCUGGAGGAAGGCGGGGACGACGUCAAAUCAUCAUGCCCCUUAUGGGCUGGGCUACACACGUGCUACAAUGGCGUAAACAAAGGGAGGCGAAGGAGAGAUCCGGAGCGAACCCCAAAAAUAACGUCUCAGUUCGGAUUGUAGUCUGCAACCCGACUACAUGAAGCUGGAAUCGCUAGUAAUCGCGGAUCAGAAUGCCGCGGUGAAUACGUUCCCGGGUCUUGCACACACCGCCCGUCA
rnacentral:rRNA from 1 species